GGAACUUGUAGUGGUAGAAGAAGAGAUGGGAAAACAGUGCUUUAUCAAAGUCUGUCUUUUACAGAGACAUUGAGACAUGACACCCUUUUAUAAAAAGGGGACUAUAUAAAGGUAUAGUAGAAUAUUAUUUUAAGAUGAGUAACUUUUUAUGUUGUGGAAUGUAUGUUCAAUGAUGCAAAGAUGGGUUGUAUUCUUUUAUGUUGUAUUUCUUUAUCUCUGUGAAACUGUGUUACUUUGCUUGUCUAAAACACCUGAUUUGUAUAAUAAAGAGCUGAAAGGCCAAUAACAAGGUAUCAGGAAGGAUAGAGGGGACGGCAGGCAGAGAGAAUAAAUAGAAGGAGAACAGGAGGGCUCAGGAAUCAAGAAAGUUUAUGGAGCAAGCAAAGAAAGUGCCAGCCACACAGCCACACAGUCAACCAUGGAGUAAAAGUGAAAGUAGUAAGCUUACAGAAGUAAGAAAAGGAAAAACGGCCAGAGGCAAAAGGUAGAUGGGAUCAUUUAAGUUUAGAAAAGCUCGAUAGCAAUAAGCCAAGCUAAGGCUAGUCAUUCAUAAGUAAGAAUAAGAGUCUGUGUGUGCAUGUAUUUGGGAGAUGGGUGGUAGCCUCCCCCCACCACCAAAGAGUAAAAAACAGCCAACUACAUAAAAGCAUAUCUUUCGGGCAUGAAUGAAUUGACUAGGCUUGCAUAUUGUUGUCCUUAAAGCAUGGUACCCAUGUCUAUUAUCUUUUAACUUUGUAGCCACAAGUAGAGGGCAGCUUACAUAAGUGCUGUGAUAGCAACUGAUGUCUGAUCUGGUAUUUUGUUAAAUCUGCUAAUAUUCUGAGCUCUGUGUGUGGAAUAAAGUUAUGUUGGGAGUGGGAAUGUGUAUUUGCUGACAUAAAAAGGAACAAUAGAAGGCUCCAUAAGGAUCAUGCUGUAUUCCUUAAAACAUAUUAUGUUUCUUAAGCCAAAAAUAAGUGCCAAUAAUAAAGCUGUUCAUGUAACCCUGGUAAGUAACUGUAAGUAAAAAUAAAGAUGGUCCAAGCUCUUGGGGCCAUUUGUGUGCAAUCCACCUGGUGGUCAAUUUUUUUCCUUGUGAUGAUGCUCCUUCCCCAUUUCAGGAUCUGAAAAUAGGUGGAGUCUGGACCCCAGCACAUCCCUUUUGUGCACUGAAGGAUAAUCUGAUUAGAACAGGAAUACAAACUGAAAAUUUUAUCAAGGCAUGCAAAAACACACAUCAUUGUGAAUUAUUAUUUAUUUGUUUUACAUAGUAGAAUUUUAUCUGUUUUACAGUGAAGCCAUGUUAACAGCUUAGGUUUAGAUUCAUAUGAGUACAAGGAAUAUUAAGAGUGUUAUAGAGAACAUAAAAUAGCAGAUAUGUUUGUGCAGUGACUUAAGAGACUGCCAACUGACAUCACUGGGCAAUGAGAAAACACAAGCCAUGAGAAGGUGGAAGGACACAAUGUCCAGGCUGGGAAAGUGGUAAAUGUAGGCUUUGGGGUGAUUUCAGAAAAGAAUACAAUGUGAACUAGGCAUCUGAUAUUCUUCAGACAGGAAUGAAGCAGAUCUGGAAAGGGGGAGGCACUGAAGCUAAACCAUUGACCACUGGGGUAAUAUUGACAUCCUUUGGGGGAACUAGAGAUUUCAGCUUGAACUUCUGUAAAAUGGUAGUCAGGAAUAGAAAAAGCUCCAUUUGAGCCAGGCCCUCUCCUGCACAAACCCGUUUUCCUGUGGGGAAAAGAGACAAAGGAGGUGACCAUGACUUGUACGAGAUGCCUUGUGUUUGUAAACCAAACAACAGAGCUAAGAGGAACUGCUGAGUUACUGGAUGGGUAGUUAAUUGUGUGGAUGAGUGAGAGGAUAAUCAGUUAAGCAAACAGACAAUAGUGGGUAACAUUUAAGUAACAUAAGACUUAAGAAAUGAAUCAAACAAAAAUCCUCAUCAGCUUGAUUGCCCACAUCUGUCAUCAGAACAUCUGUGAGACUGAAGGAUGAGGAUUAUGAAUUUGUUAUCAAAUACUUAGUGUAUGGCCAUCCAUGUCAACAGAUUCAGCAUGUAUACUAUGUGAGUGAAGAUUCAAUAUUCUUGACAAACAUCCUGAUUGGUGGAGCAGGGGAACCUGUGAUAACCUCAUGGUGUGCUGCCAGAUCUACAAGAAUUCCAUGAUCUCAUGAUGAUGUAAUACUUUCUUACCUUCUGAACUAAGAGAAAAACAUCCUGAUUCAGAAGUUUGUCACUUUUUAAAUAAAUAGUGAUGUGUAUAUUUUGUGUAUGUAUGGGAGAAUUGGCAUGUCAAUGUUAGUUUUCCAGAGUACCCAGAAGGUUGCUCCUGAUCUCCUAAAAUUAGAGAUAUGAAUCUGAAGUGCACAAAAUGGGUGCUAUCAUUGACCUCAGGUUUGUUGAAAUCAUAGCAAGUUAUCCUAACUGGAAUUUCUCCAGCCAUUUUUUACAAUGGGAAAAAUGACCUCCCCCAGAUAAAAUUCCAACAAGAACUUGGAAUGUGCUCAUAGUGUCUUACCUGCAACUGAGUAGCAAUUAGCUGUUUAUAGCUACCAGGAGACAGAGAAUAAGUUUUCAUCAUGGAUGUGACUUCAGGUUGUGUUACCAGUGCUUGUGAGAAUGUCACUAGAAGCAAAGAGUGCUCUAGUAGGUUAAAAAUAAAGUAUAUGACUAAGGGAGAAAGAAUGGUGACAGGAAUAAUGCAAAGAAGGGGAGGGAAAUAGUACAGGUGGUUUUUAUCAAAAGACAUUGGAUACAUGUUUGAAAAUCAAACAAGAGAAACAUAUUGUAAAAUGACAAGUAUUUAUAUUUCUGUUGUCUCUAUUAUGUACAUUCUUUGAAGCAAGUAGAAAGUAAACUAUUAGUGCCACCACACUCUCAUGAAAGCCAGAGAGUAACAGGAACCAAUGAACAAAAUACCCAACAAAGAUAAAAUCAGUACCUAAAACUGUAAUCUUCUCAAUCCUACAUGUCUAGAUGACAGUUUCAAAGUAAAACCAAUAGUAACCAGGGCAAUAAAUCUCCACAAGAGCCCAUCAACCGUACUACAACAGACAUGCACAUUUCAACAUAGAUGAAACCCUAGAAAAAGAUCUUAAAACAGCCUUUUUGCAUGUAACAGAGGUCCUUAAAGGAAAAUAAAUAAAUCCCUCAGUGAAAUAUAGGCAAACACAAACAAACAGUGGGUGAAAAAGAUUAAAUACUUUAAAGACAUUCAAGAAAACACAAAUAUCAGAAGAAAAAAAUAGCAACUGCUCAAGAUUUAAAAAUGGAAGUAGAAUCAAUAAAGAAAAUUUGAACUGAGGAAAUUCUGGAAAUGAAAACGUUAGGUAAUCAAGUAGGAACUAUAGAGGAAAUCUUCACCAACAGAAUACAAGAAAUGGAAGAAGGAAACUCAGGCAUUGUGGUUACAAUAGAAAAAAAUGGAUAUAUCAGUCAAAGAAAACUUUAAAUCUAAAUGUCUCCUGACACAAAAUAUACAAGAAAUCUGGGACACUAUUAAAAAAACAAAAACCUAACAAUAGUAACAGAAAGAAAACAAUUUAAUCUAAAGGUCUAGAAAAUAUUUUAAACAAAAUCGUAGAAGAAAAUUUCUUUAAUCUAAAGAGGAAAUUUUGUAAAGGUACAAGAAACACACAGAAAACAAAAUAGAAUGGACCACAAAAGAAAGUCCUCAGAACAUAAUAAUCAAAACACUGAAAGUACAGAACAAAGAAUAUUAAAAGUUGCAAGGGAAAAAUUUAUAAAGGUAUAAGGAACACACAGAAAACAAAAUAGAAUGGACCACAAAAGAAAAUCCUCAGCACAUAAUAAUCAAAACACUGGCCCUUUCCGUGGAUUCAUCGCAGACCAGGUGAGCCACCCCCUGCUUUUACUCAAUUCUUGUCCUAAGCACCAUUCACCCAGAUCCCUCCAGGCUCGUCCCUGCUUGAAACAGACACGUCCAGGCAGGGAGGAGCUCCCCGCAUCUGGGUACAGGCCACUCUUCAUUCCAUUCCUCCAAGAGGCCUAACGCCAUCAGAGUGAGGAGGCUACGAGGAGAGGCAAAACCAUCCAGAGCUUCGGACAUUGAAUUCCUGGCCCACACACACUACAGAGUAACAAGAGGAGAUAGAGAGAUCCUACCUGCACUCACUGGAAAAAGAUAUGGGAAGAAGACAGAAUAAGAACCCGCUCAACAACAGAAAGACCAAUAUGACACCACCAGAAUCUAGGGACUCCACUCCAGCAAGAUCUGAAAAGCCCAACACAGUGCAUGAAGAAGAGAUGGACCUCAAAAAUUAUCUGAG
ensembl:lncRNA